rnacentral:rRNA from 1 species
UGAGGAAUAUUGGUCAAUGGACGAGAGUCUGAACCAGCCAAGUAGCGUGAAGGAUGACUGCCCUAUGGGUUGUAAACUUCUUUUAUAUGGGAAUAAAAUGUUCCACGUGUGGGAUUUUGUAUGUACCAUAUGAAUAAGGAUCGGCUAACUCCGUGCCAGCAGCCGCGGUAAUACGGAGGAUCCGAGCGUUAUCCGGAUUUAUCGGGUUUAAAGGGAGCGUAGGUGGAUUGUUAAGUCAGUUGUGAAAGUUUGCGGCUCAACCGUAAAAUUGCAGUUGAAACUGGCAGUCUUGAGUACAGUAGAGGUGGGCGGAAUUCGUGGUGUAGCGGUGAAAUGCUUAGAUAUCACGAAGAACUCCGAUUGCGAAGGCAGCUCACUGGACUGCAACUGACACUGAGGCUCGAAAGUGUGGGUAUCAAACAGG